CUAUGGUCUAAUUAGGGUUAAAGUAUAGUCAUUGUAUUGAUAGUUCGGUAGUAAGUGUACUAGUUCUUUUGAAUGACAACCUUUCUCGCCCGGCUUUAGAUGCAAAAUUAAUUUGCGCAAUGCGCAUGGAGGUUUCAUUCAUAUGGAACAAGGUACUGUUAAAUGGUUUAACGCUGACAAGGGUUACGGUUUUAUUACUCGCGAAAACGGUGACGAUGUAUUCGUUCACUUCUCAGCUAUCCAAGGCGACGGCUUCAAGACUUUGGACGAAGGUCAACACGUUUCUUUCGAUGUUGAAGACAGCGACCGUGGCCCACAAGCUACAAACGUUAACAAAGACUAAUUUUAAUAAUUAGAUUUUAAAGAGCAUUCACAUUUGUGAAUGCUCUUUUU
rnacentral:sRNA from 1 species